rnacentral:lncRNA from 1 species
CCGGGAAGCUGGCUGCGUUGGAGUCGCCGUGGGGAUGCUGUGCCGGGGGCUCCAGGAGCAUGGGAGGGAUGUCGAGGAGGGUAGGGCGGCGGCAGCCUUGGCUGAGCGGGCGUGCGCCGCCGGUGUUGGAGUGGAGUGGGGCAGAGCGGGGAUGGUGAGGCGGACCGCCAAACCCACCCAAGCCGUGGCUCGGGAAGCGUUGGAGAUGGUGACCGGGAAGGGUGGGGAGAGCCUUGUGAGCGACAGACGUGCAGCCGACCUGCCGGAGGUGUGGACCUGCAUACUGGGGAGCGGCCCUGGCCGGCCAAUGAAUGGGAGCUGGAUUCUUU